rnacentral:misc_RNA from 1 species
GAUGAAGAACGCAGCGAAAUGCGAUACGUAAUGUGAAUUGCAGAAUUCAGUGAAUCAUCGAGUCUUUGAACGCACAUUGCGACCCCUGGUAUUCCGGGGGGCAUGCCUGUCCGAGCGUCAUUGCUGCCCUCAAGCACGGCUUGUGUGUUGGGCCUCCGUCCUCCUCCCGGGGGACGGGCCCGAAAGGCAGCGGCGGCACCGCGUCCGGUCCUCGAGCGUAUGGGGCUUCGUCACCCGCUCUUGUAGGCCCGGCCGGCGCUUGCCGACACAUCAAUCUUUUUUCCAGGUUGACCUCGGAUCAGGUAGGGAUACCCGCUGAACUUAAGCAUAUCAAUAAGCGGAGGA